rnacentral:rRNA from 1 species
AGCGAACGCUGGCGGCAGGCCUAACACAUGCAAGUCGAGCGCCCAGCAAUGGGAGCGGCAGACGGGUGAGUAACACGUGGGGAUGUGCCCAAAGGUACGGAAUAGCUCCGGGAAACUGGAAUUAAUACCGUAUGUGCCCUUCGGGGGAAAGAUUUAUCGCCUUUGGAUCAACCCGCGUCUGAUUAGCUAGUUGGUGAGGUAAAGGCUCACCAAGGCGACGAUCAGUAGCUGGUCUGAGAGGAUGAUCAGCCACACUGGGACUGAGACACGGCCCAGACUCCUACGGGAGGCAGCAGUGGGGAAUAUUGGACAAUGGGCGCAAGCCUGAUCCAGCCAUGCCGCGUGAGUGAUGAAGGCCUUAGGGUUGUAAAGCUCUUUCGCCGGUGAAGAUAAUGACGGUAACCGGAGAAGAAGCCCCGGCUAACUUCGUGCCAGCAGCCGCCGUAAUAC